rnacentral:rRNA from 1 species
UACGGGGGGGGCAAGCGUUGUUCGGAAUUACUGGGCGUAAAGGGCGCGUAGGCGGCCAACUAAGUCAGACGUGAAAUCCCUCGGCUUAACCGGGGAACUGCGUCUGAUACUGGAUGGCUUGAGGUUGGGAGAGGGAUGCGGAAUUCCAGGUGUAGCGGUGAAAUGCGUAGAUAUCAAGAGGAACACCUGCGGCGAAGGCGGGUUGCUGGGCCGACACUGACGCUGAUGCGCGAAAGCUAGGGGAGCGAACGGG